rnacentral:rRNA from 1 species
UACGUAGGGUGCAAGCGUUGUCCGGAAUUAUUGGGCGUAAAGAGCUCGUAGGCGGUCUGUCACGUCGGCUGUGAAAACCCAGGGCUCAACCCUGGGCCUGCAGUCGAUACGGGCAGACUAGAGUCCGGCAGGGGAGACUGGAAUUCCUGGUGUAGCGGUGAAAUGCGUAGAGAUUGGAAAGAACACCGAUGGCGAAGGCACUUUACUGGGCUAUUACUAACACUCAGAGACGAAAGCUAGGGUAGCAAAUGGG